GACGUAGGUGGCGAACGUUAUCCGGAAUUAUUGGGCGUAAAGGAUGCGUAGAUGGUGUAGUAAGUUAUCGGUGGUAAAUCGAGGCUCAACCUCGUGGAAGUCGGUAAUACUGCUAUGCUAGAGGAUAGGAGAGGUUAACGGAACUCCCUGUGGAGCGGUGAAAUGCGUAGAUACUGGGAGGAACACCAGUGGCGAAGGCGGCUACCUGGACCGGUUCUGACGCUGAGGCGCGAAAGCCAGGGGAGCAAACGGG
rnacentral:rRNA from 1 species